UUGCACGCUGGCGGCCGGCCUAACCCCUGCAAGUCGCGCGGAUGAAGGGAGCUUGCUCCUGGCUUCAGCGGCGGACGGGUGAGUAAUGCCUAGGAAUCUGCCUGGUAGUGGGGGAUAACGUCCGGAAACGGGCGCUAAUACCGCAUACGUCCUGAGGGAGAAAGUGGGGGAUCUUCGGACCUCACGCUAUCAGAUGAGCCUAGGUCGGAUUAGCUAGUUGGUGGGGUAAAGGCCUACCAAGGCGACGAUCCGUAACUGGUCUGAGAGGAUGAUCAGUCACACUGGAACUGAGACACGGUCCAGACUCCUACGGGAGGCAGCAGCGGGGAAUAUUGGACAAUGGGCGAAAGCCUGAUCCAGCCAUGCCGCGUGUGUGAAGAAGGUCUUCGGAUUGUAAAGCACUUUAAGUUGGGAGGAAGGGCAGUAAGUUAAUACCUUGCUGUUUUGACGUUACCAACAGAAUAAGCACCGGCUAACUUCGUG
rnacentral:rRNA from 1 species